rfam:Triticum aestivum genome assembly, contig: Triticum_aestivum_CS42_TGACv1_scaffold_603671_7DL
CUAGUACUCCCUCCGUCCGAAAAUACUUGUCAUUGAAAUGGUAUCUAGAUGCAUUUUAGUUUUAGAUACAUCCAUUUUCAUCCAUUUUGAUGACAAGUAUUUCCGGACGGAGGGAGUAUGUA